UUUGUUAGCUUUAAUAAGUGUCUUUAAUAAGUGUCUUUAAUAAGUGUCUUUAAUAAGUGUCUUUAAUGUGAGAAGGUUGUAUGUAGUGUACACUCCUGGGGAAAAAAUGUGCCAAGCCCAAAAUGGCAAAAUAUUAAGCUUUCAAUAGUCUUAACAACAAAUCAUUGGUCAGGAAAUUAGCAAAAACUGAACAAAUAGAUAAAGGAAGUUAGUAUGGGAGAGCUUUUCCCUUUGAUUUCUUUACAUGUUUAAGCCUUGUGGCCCUUGAUGUACUGCAUCAGGUGUGGCAGAUAACCAAAUAAUGACUAAACUAAGAAAAAAAAACAUCCCAGAUGAUACGUAUGGAAAAUUUUGUACACCCAGCCAGACAUGUCUCACUGUAGCAGAAGGAAACAAGCAAAUGGUGGCACAGGAGCUCUCAGGAGAGCAUUUGUUUAAUUGUUGCUCAUUUUCUGAUCAAUGAUUUGUUGUUAAGACCAUUAAAAGCUUAAUAUUUUAACA